GACGAACGCUGGCGGCGUGCUUAACACAUGCAAGUCGAGCGGUAAGGCCCUUUCGGGGGUACACGAGCGGCGAACGGGUGAGUAACACGUGGGUGACCUGCCCUUAGCUCUGGGAUAAGCCUGGGAAACUGGGUCUAAUACCGGAUAUGACUCCAUAACGCAUGUUGUGGGGUGGAAAGCCUUGUGCGGCUAGGGAUGGGCCCGCGGCCUAUCAGCUUGUUGGUGGGGUGAUGGCCACCAAGGCGACGACGGGUAGCCGGCCUGAGAGGGCGACCGGCCACACUGGGACUGAGACACGGCCCAGACUCCUACGGGAGGCAGCAGUGGGGAAUCUUGCGCAAUGGCGAAAGCCUGACGCAGCGACGCCGCGUGGGGAUGACGG
rnacentral:rRNA from 1 species